UACAUGUGGGGCAAGCGUUGUUCGGAAUUACUGGGCAUAAAGGGUGCGUAGGCGGCUUGCCAAGUCGCAGGUGAAAGUUUACGGCCCAACCGGAAAAGUGCCUGCGAUACUGGCGAGCUUGAGUGCGCGAGGGGUUGGGGGAACGAGCAGUGUAGCGGUGAAAUGCGUAGAUAUUGCUCGGAAGGCCGGAGCCGAAGGGGCCCAACUGGUACGCAACUGACGCUGAGGCACGAAAGCGUGGGGAGCAAACAGG
rnacentral:rRNA from 1 species